ACUUAAAGCGAUUCAGCGGGUUACGAUUGACGGAGCGAAGCGACGUCAAAGCGUAUACAAAGUCGAGUCGGUUUAAGGAUACGUUCGUUGGGUAGGGGAGCGUUCUGUAAGCCUGUGAAGGUGGCCUGUGAGGGUUGCUGGAGGUAUCAGAAGUGCGAAUGCUGACAUAAGUAACGAUAAAGCGGGUGAAAAGCCCGCUCGCCGGAAGACCAAGGGUUCCUGUCCAACGUUAAUCGGGGCAGGGUGAGUCGACCCCUAAGGCGAGGCCGAAAGGCGUAGUCGAUGGGAAACGGGUUAAUAUUCCCGUACUUGGUGUUACUGCGAAGGGGGGACGGAGAAGGCUAUGUUGGCCGGGCGACGGUUGUCCCGGUUUAAGCGUGUAGGUGUGUGUUCCAGGUAAAUCCGGUUCACUUUAACACUGAGGCGUGAUGACGAGGCACUACGGUGCUGAAGCAACAAAUGCCCUGCUUCCAGGAAAAGCCUCUAAGCAUCAGGUAACAUCAAAUCGUACCCCAAACCGACACAGGUGGUCAGGUAGAGAAUACCAAGGCGCUUGAGAGAACUCGGGUGAAGGAACUAGGCAAAAUGGUGCCGUAACUUCGGGAGAAGGCACGCUGACACGUAGGUGAAGUGAUUUACUCAUGGAGCUGAAGUCAGUCGAAGAUACCAGCUGGCUGCAACUGUUUAUUAAAAACACAGCACUGUGCAAACACGAAAGUGGACGUAUACGGUGUGACGCCUGCCCGGUGCCGGAAGGUUAAUUGAUGGGGUCAGCGCAAGCGAAGCUCCUGAUCGAAGCCCCGGUAAACGGCGGCCGUAACUAUAACGGUCCUAAGGUAGCGAAAUUCCUUGUCGGGUAAGUUCCGACCUGCACGAAUGGCGUAAUGAUGGCCAGGCUGUCUCCACCCGAGACUCAGUGAAAUUGAACUCGCUGUGAAGAUGCAGUGUACCCGCGGCAAGACGGAAAGACCCCGUGAACCUUUACUAUAGCUUGACACUGAACAUUGAGCCUUGAUGUGUAGGAUAGGUGGGAGGCUUUGAAGCGUGGACGCCAGUCUGCGUGGAGCCGACCUUGAAAUACCACCCUUUAAUGUUUGAUGUUCUAACGUGGACCCGUAA
rnacentral:rRNA from 1 species